rnacentral:rRNA from 1 species
AGUGAACGCUGGCGGUAGGCCUAACACAUGCAAGUCGAACGGCAGCACAGUAAGAGCUUGCUCUUACGGGUGGCGAGUGGCGGACGGGUGAGGAAUACAUCGGAAUCUACUUUUUCGUGGGGGAUAACGUAGGGAAACUUACGCUAAUACCGCAUACGACCUACGGGUGAAAGCAGGGGAUCUUCGGACCUUGCGCGAUUGAAUGAGCCUAUGUCGGAUUAGCUAGUUGGCGGGGUAAAGGCCCACCAAGGCGACGAUCCGUAGCUGGUCUGAGAGGAUGAUCCGCCACACUGGAACUGAGACACGGUCCAGACUCCUACGGGAGGCAGCAGUGGGGAAUAUUGGACAAUGGGCGCAAGCCUGAUCCAGCCAUACCGCGUGGGUGAAGAAGGCCUUCGGGUUGUAAAGCCCUUUUGUUGGGAAAGAAAAGCAGCAGGUUAAUACCCCGCUGUUCUGACGGUACCCAAAGAAUAAGCACCGGCUAACUUCGUG